GAUGAACGCUAGCGGCAGGCUUAACACAUGCGAGUCGAGGGGUAAAGUAGCAAUACUAGAGACCGGCAACCGGGUGCGGAACACGUACGCAACAUACCCGCUACAGGGGCAUAGCCCGGAGACAUCCGCAUUAACACCCCAUAGUAUAGCGGAGAGGCACCUCUCUCCUAUUCAAAAUUUAUUGGCAGCGGAUUGGCCUGCGUCACAUUAGAUAGAUGGCGGGGUAACGGCCCACCAAGACGACGAUGGGUAGCUGGUUGGACAGCACGACCAGCCACACGGGCACUGAGACACUGGCCCGAUUCCUACGGGAGGCAGCAGUGAGGAAUAUGGAUCAAUGGGCGCAAGCCUGAACCAGCCAUGCCGCGUGGAGGAUGAAGGCCCUCUGGGUUGUAAACUUCUUUUAUCUGGGAAGAAAAGUACGGUUUCUACUGUAUCCGACGGUACCAGAUGAAUAAGCACCGGCUAACUCCGUGCCAGCCGCCGCCGUAAGAC
rnacentral:rRNA from 1 species